UACAAGGUAGCCGUUUGGCGUCGUGAGGUAUGGAUGUUCCCAUCCCUAAUUUGCAAAAUAGGUAACUGAGGCUCAGGAGAGCUAGACUAGUUUGUGCACAGCCGAGAAGUGGUCAAGCUAGAAUGGGACCCCAGGUUUGUGCUCCCUGCUCUCCACCGAUAACCUAUCAAAGGGCUUUGCAAGAGCUUUUGACUAAUCGUCUGUCAAUGGUUCUUCAUUCACGUAUUAAUUGCACAUCAGUAUGUGCCAAAUCUACUAGACAUUGGAGAAACAGUAGGAACAACACAUGGUACCGGCACAUGGAUCUUUCAGGAAAACGAAGUAGGUAAUAAACAGGAAAAAGCCCGAGUCUGAUGCUAAGAAGAACAUAAACAGGAUGCUGAGAGAUUGGGUCUCUCCACAUUGCCCCGGCUGCUCUCCAACCCCUGAGUUCAAGUGAUUCACCUCCCUUGGCCUCCCAAAGAACUGGGAUUACAGACGUGAGCCACCGUGCCUGGCUGAGAAGAUGGAUUUAAGAUAUGUUUUGGAGUAAAUUUAAGUGUGGCUCUGUGCCUAUGCUCUCCCCAGCGGAAAGUGAGCAGAAGAGGUGUGCAGUUUCCAGGCCUGGCCCAUACAGACCUCCAACAGGUGCUCCCCUGUGCUGUUACUCCUUCUGCCAACU
rnacentral:lncRNA from 1 species